UUUCAUUAUUAAUUCAUGUUUCAUUUUUCAGAGAACAUACCAAAACCCAGCGUUUUCUCUCACAAGUCAUUUUUCCCACCAUGAUUCGAUCUCAAUCUUUGCAUCAUUUACUUCAAUCUGUAACUAAUUUCUUCGAUCUAUAAGUAUUUUCUUUCUUUAAUCUCAACUAUGAGCCAUAUUUUUCUUGAAUCUUAAACUGUACCUUUUUGUAUUUCGUCUUGUAAUAGUAGAAAAAAGAUGGAAACCCAUUUUGUUUCCUCAUCAGUAAAGAAGAGUAACACAUAUAUCAACAGUGAAGACGUUUUUAAUCCCCUUUUAUUUCAUCAUCAGUAGUAUUAUCGGUGGAUUUCUCUAUGCCAAGCAUAUGGGUAAUGAUAUGUGGGAUGUGGCUAUUGAUAGAAGGUACACGAAGCUGGUUGAGAAAUUGCUAAUGUUGAUCAGUAUUAGCAGGUAAAGUUUGGGUACUCUAUGGGAUCACAUCCUUAUGUUAGAAAACCAUAUGAUUUCUGUACUUGUGCAAUAUACAUGUGCAAAUGUAUAGCUUGGCACGUGCUUUCAGCUAAGAUUUGACGACUUAAACCAUCACAUUGAAUGGGACCAACCUGCUGUGUUUGUUCAUGUCAAGUAUGCCAUUUCAACCAAGAUGGAAGUGCUGAAUUUGAGUCUAAGAGGCCCUAAUUACUCAUCUCUUCCUUUUGCUAAGUAUUAAUAUCUCAAGAAUAUGGAGCGCAUAAUCUUGUUGAGCUUAUUCACUUCAAACUGUUUUGUAAAGAUGGACAUAGGAGAAUGACCUGGGCUGCUUAUGAUUUAUGUUUUCCCUUAAUUGUAAAUUGUGUAUCAGAAAGAUCAGAUUGCAAUUAUGUUUCAGGUUUAAA